rnacentral:misc_RNA from 1 species
UCUCCGUAGGUGAACCUGCGGAGGGAUCAUUACAGAGUUCAUGCCCUACCGGGUAGAUCUCCCACCCUAUGUUAUUAUUACUUUGUUGCUUUGGCGGGCCGUUAGGCUCCGGCCCGACUACCGGCCCCGGCUGGUAAGCGCCCGCCGGAGGACCCAAAACCCUGAAUAUUAGUGUCGUCUGAGUACUAUAUAAUAGUUAAAACUUUCAACAACGGAUCUCUUGGUUCUC